rnacentral:rRNA from 1 species
AUUGAACGCUGGCGGCAGGCCUAACACAUGCAAGUCGAACGAGUGGCGGACGGGUGAGUAAUGUCUGGGAAACUGCCCGAUGGAGGGGGAUAACUACUGGAAACGGUAGCUAAUACCGCAUACCAUCGGAUGUGCCCAGAUGGGAUUAGCUGGUAGGUGAGGUAACGGCUCACCUAGGCGACGAUCCCUAGCUGGUCUGAGAGGAUGACCAGCCCAAGUGGAACUGAGACACGGUCCAUACUCCUGCGAGAGGCAGCAGUGGGGAAUAUUGCACAAUGGGCGCAAGCAUGAUGCAGCCAGGACGCGUGUAUGAAGAAGGCCUUCUGGUUGUAAAUUCCUUUCAGCGGGGAGGCGUUACCCGCAGAAGAAGCACCGUCUAACUCCGUGCCAGCAGCCGCGGUAAUAC